CCGGUACAGAGUCAAUGUGGAGGCUAUAUACAGGGGGUACCGGUACAGAGUCAAUGUGGAGGCUAUAUACAGGGGGUACCGGUACAGAGUCAAUGUGGAGACUAUAUACAGGGGGUACCGGUACAGAGUCAAGGUGGAGACUAUAUACAGGGGGUACCGGUACAGAGUCAAUGUGGAGACUAUAUACAGGGGGUAUCGGUACAGAGUCAAUGUGGAGGCUAUAUACAGGGGGUACCGGUACAGAGUCAAUGUGGAGGCUAUAUACAGGGGGUACCGGUACAGAGUCAAUGUGGAGGCUAUAUACAGGGGGUACCGGUACAGAGUCAAUGUGGAGGCUAUAUACAGGGA
ensembl:lncRNA